rnacentral:rRNA from 1 species
GACGAACGCUGGCGGCAGGCUUAACACAUGCAAGUCGAGCGCCCCGCAAGGGGAGCGGCAGACGGGUGAGUAACGCGUGGGAAUCUACCCAUCUCUACGGAAUAACGCAUGGAAACGUGUGCUAAUACCGUAUACGUCCUUCGGGAGAAAGAUUUAUCGGAGAUGGAUGAGCCCGCGUUGGAUUAGCUAGUUGGUGGGGUAAAGGCCUACCAAGGCGACGAUCCAUAGCUGGUCUGAGAGGAUGAUCAGCCACACUGGGACUGAGACACGGCCCAGACUCCUGCGGGAGGCAGCAGUGGGGAAUAUUGGACAAUGGGCGCAAGCCUGAUCCAGCCAUGCCGCGUGAGUGAUGAAGGCCCUAGGGUUGUAAAGCUCCUUCACCGGUGAAGAUAAUGACGGUAACCGGAGAAGAAGCCCCGGCUAACUUCGUGCCAGCCGCCGCGGUAAGAC